ACUUAAAUUGAAGAGUUUGAUCAUGGCUCAGAUUGAACGCUGGCGGCAGGCCUAACACAUGCAAGUCGAGCGGUAGCACAGAGAGCUUGCUCUCGGGUGACGAGCGGCGGACGGGUGAGUAAUGUCUGGGAAACUGCCUGAUGGAGGGGGAUAACUACUGGAAACGGUAGCUAAUACCGCAUAACGUCGCAAGACCAAAGUGGGGGACCUUCGGGCCUCAUGCCAUCAGAUGUGCCCAGAUGGGAUUAGCUAGUAGGUGGGGUAACGGCUCACCUAGGCGACGAUCCCUAGCUGGUCUGAGAGGAUGACCAGCCACACUGGAACUGAGACACGGUCCAGACUCCUACGGGAGGCAGCAGUGGGGAAUAUUGCACAAUGGGCGCAAGCCUGAUGCAGCCAUGCCGCGUGUGUGAA
rnacentral:rRNA from 1 species